GAUGAACGCUAGCUACAGGCUUAACACAUGCAAGUCGAGGGGAAACGACAUCGAAAGCUUGCUUUUGAUGGGCGUCGACCGGCGCACGGGUGAGUAACGCGUAUCCAACCUGCCCACCACUUGGGGAUAACCUUGCGAAAGUAAGACUAAUACCCGAUGAUAUCUCUAGAAGACAUCUGAAAGGGAUUAAAGAUUUAUCGGUGAUGGAUGGGGAUGCGUCUGAUUAGCUUGUUGGCGGGGUAACGGCCCACCAAGGCUACGAUCAGUAGGGGUUCUGAGAGGAAGGUCCCCCACACCGGUACUGAGACACGGACCAGACUCCUACGGGAGGCAGCAGUGAGGAAUAUUGGUCAAUGGGCGAGAGCCUGAACCAGCCAAGUCGCGUGAGGGAAGACGGUCCUACGGAUUGUAAACCUCUUUUGUCGGGGAGUAAUAGGCGGGACGUGUCCUGCUGUGAGAGUACCCGAAGAAAAAGCAUCGGCUAACUCCGUGCCAGCAGCCGCGGU
rnacentral:rRNA from 1 species